AAGUAAUCGGCUCUCACUCGUUUUGUUUGGAACUGUAUUCGGAAACGUCAUUAAAACCAUGUUUACAAGGAUUUGUUCUUGAUAGAAUUCGGAACAAUAACCGUCAGUCGAAAAAGCUUGCACGAGAAUCGGGUCCCCCGAACCGACGUGUACAACUCAUACUUACCUGGCAAGGGAGAUACCGUGAUCAAGAAGGCGGUUCACCCAGGGUGAGGCUCAGCCAUUGCACUCCGGCUGUGCUGACCCCUGCGAAUUUCCCAAAUGUGGAAAUCUCGAUUGCAUAAUUUCUGGUAGUGGGGGACUGCGUUCGCGCUCUCCCCUGAUUUUACUGUUAAAGAUAAAGAAAUGAAGUGAUGCUCCAGACAGAGUAACUACAGAUUAUUCAAUGAACAGCACCUUGGGAAACUGAGAACGUCCUAGCAAGGUGGACACUCAUUUUAUCUAGGAUGGUGGUUUACAUAUUACGGGAAUGGCUGUUGAUAUAGUGCGAAGGAAUGCUGCAAGAUUUGAGUUGACUGAUGACUUGGAAAUGGACCGACUGGUAUUCAGCGUGAUUGUGCUCCAGAAAGAACUGAAUUUUUCACCUACGCAAUUAGACUACGUUUUUGCCUUUCCUGGUAAGAAAAUAUUUGAAGUCAUUUUUACAACUUUCCCCCUCUACGAGCUGUUUGGAAAGAUUUAAUGCAAAGAAAAGCACAGCACUCUAUCUGAAGAAAGUGGUUUUUGAUCCCCCUGUCAGAAAGAGACACCAGAACUGUUUCUGUGGUUAUGUAUUCUGAAAAAGUGAACUUUGAAGACAUCCUCACAUGGCUUUCCCAUCAUUGUCUUACAAGGCUCUCAAACAAAAGAUCAAGAUGGCAUUAAGACGGGCAUGUAUAUUUCAAGUUCGUUUGAAGAGUGACUCGGCUGGUGGUAAUUUACAACAUCUGCCUUCAAUUAUUCAAUUAGGCCCAAGCCGUGGAUAUGUUUUCUAUGCUGCCAACCCAAGAAAUGCAGAACGUGUGGCUCACUUCACCACCUUGCAGCCGACUGUGAUGCGGUUUUUUGUAGGACUUGUAAAAGCUCAAGCCACUGGACAAAGAAUUGUGAGCAACCCAUGAAGUGUAACCUUUGUGGUAAUAACAUGGACACUUUUUGUAACUGUCCAGGUUCCUACGCCAAUAGAGCACGAUACCAUCCCCUUAAUACCGGGGGAAACCUCUUCAGAUACCCAUGAACCACAUGGACCUGUUCUUAAUUCCAAUGAUAAUCAGACAGUCAACAACAGAACAAAGAAGAGGAAGGAGGAACUCUUGAUAACCAAACUCCAGCACCUGAACCUGAGCCAUAUCAACCUUCAAGCGAACACGACAGUCAGAAGUCCCUCCCUUCCAGCUGGUUGAUACUUUGCAUUCUGAAGACAGGAUUACUGCCCUUGAUGACACCUCCCCCGAUCAAGCCUCAACUCCAACCCAGGAACGUAGCAUUCCUAAUGGGAAUACCCUUUUAGCAGCUAUUGAGACUAUACCUCCCGCCCUUUUACCAGGCAGUCCCCUUGAGGCAUCACCGCAGAACACACGCCAGCGGCUUCGAAACACCUCCUCUACCUCAGGAGAAAGUUCUCUUCUCCCUGAGAGAGAAGACUUAGACAGUUGGCCUGUACUUGAUCCUUCAUCAUUCCUAGACAUUGACACGGUAACCGAAUUUACCGCUACUACCCUCAUGAAGGAAUCUUUAGCAGGGAAAGGGGUGGAUACAAAGAUAACAAAAAAAAAGAUCAAUGUUUCUUUUAGCUAACGAAUUAUUUUAGCUAAUGUAUACAUCUCCCCCAACUCCCCCAUGUCUCCCCUUUCAGUUGUUACUAUUAACACCAGAGGACUAAAUUAACCCAUUAAGUGUCAAUCAGUCUUUGAUUUACUGCAUGGGGAUAGUGGGGAUAUAUUUUGCAAGAAUGUAACAUCCACUACAGAGACAAUUACAAACUGUUUCAGGAUAGAUGGACAUACGGGGAAUCUGUUUGGUCAGGUGACAACAUAAAUAGAACAUCAGGGGUAGCUAUCCUCCUUAGAGGAUGGUCUUUUCAUAUUGAAAGAGUGCAAAGGAUUAUGGAUGGGAGAAUUUUAUGUGUUGAUUUAGAAGGCAAUGGUAUGAAACUACGAAUCAUUAAUGUAUAUUGCCCUUCUGAGCUACAAGACCGUCUUUUGACAUUGCAAUCCUUGCAUCCUCUGGUGCUGUGUGGUAGACAAGUGAUCCUAGGAGGUGAUUUUAAUUGUAUUGUUGAUAAAGGGGACCGAAUGUCUACAACCACGGUCAGAUUGGACGCAAGUUCUCACAUGCUAAAAAAUGUUAUUCAGGAUGCCAAAGUAAUAGAUACCUUUAGAUUUAAGUAUCCUAUUGAUCCUGGUUAUACUUGGACUAAUGGCAAAUCAUAUUCUAGAAUAGAUUUUCUUUUUACAACUACCGGGAUGAGGCUACAUGACCAUCUCCAGGCCCUUUGGAAAUUGAAUGUUAGUGUUUUCAAAAUAUAAAAGAAAAACUCAAACAGUAAGAGACCUUACAAUUUUGGUUUGACACUAUGGGAGAAUGGUGGGAGAAUGUCAAGGUCAGAACUAAGAUUUUUUUUUUACGUUGGAAAGGAAAAGGGCUGCGGCAAAGAACCGGACACUUCCGAUAAGACUUCAGGGCAAACUACAGAGGUUUUACCUUCUUGCCAAUUCAGGAUUUGAUGUGCAUGAGGAUAUUGCAAGCCUGAAAAAGGAAAUGAUGAGGUUGUUAUUUGAUAAAAGUAGAGGGUUUUUAACCCGAAGUAGAGUACAACAUUUAGAAGAAAAUGAAAAGUGCACUUGCUACUUUUUAAAGAAACUAUCAAAUUCAAAGCACUGCAUUGAAUCUGUAUUAGAUAAGAAUGGUGAAAAUGUAUGUGAUGUCAAAUUAAUUCCCAGCAUUGUUCAGAAUUUUUACUCAGAACUUUAUCAAGAAAAGGUCAUUCAGGAAGACAAUCUUGAUUUUUUUUCUGGCCGCAAUAGAAAGAAAGUUAAAUCAUUCUGACAGAGAACUUUUGGAGAAAGUGGAAAUAACAAAAGCAAUGAUUAGUAUGCAGAAUAAUAAGACCCCGGGCCCAGAUGGUCUACCAAAGGAGUUUGACUUUGCCUUUUGGGACCAGCUUAAAUACCCUUUACUCGUCAUGUACAUUUUUCCGGGCCCAGUCCAUGGUGAGUAAGGUGGUUGGGAUUGACCAGACUUGUGGUAUCCCUGGCCGCUGUAUGAGUGAUAAUUUAGCUCUGAUCAGGGAUACGUAUAUUUUCUGCCAAGACCGCAGUCUUCCCUUAUGUAUCCUAGGGCUGGACUUGGAAAAGGCCUUCGAUAGUAUUAAACCACCAGUAUUUGAGAGCAGUGCGGUCUAAACUUAAUUUUGGCCCAAAGUUUAGGUCCUGGGUUAAUCUUCUUUAUGCAGGAAGCAAAAGUAGGAUGAUGGUGAACGGGAAAGCAACAUCCCCUUUCAACGUAAACUCGGGGGUUCACCAAGGUUGUCCUCUUUCCCCGAUGUUGUUUGUUUUGGCCAUAGAACCCUUAGCAUGUGCAGUGAGACAAAAUAUAAGGAUCAGAGGUGUACAAAUCCCAGGCUGUUUCGGCAUAGAGGCAAAGAUAUCCCUUUAUAUGGAUGACCUAAACCUUCUACUUUUAGAUAACAGGUCAAUAAGGGAAACAAUACUUAUCUGGGACAAGUUUUCUAUAGUUUCAGGUACUAAGGUAAAUAAGACAAAAAGCGAAACUCUUUAUUUUAAUGGGAAGGAACCAAAAGAAGAUUAUGGUUUGAUAGAAAGAAACGAGAAGAUUAAAGUGCUUGGGGUCCAAAUUGGGAAAGAUAUGGACAUUUGUAAUUGGGAUUUGAAUUACCUAAAAUAAAUGGAAAGCUAAUGCAAUGGGCAGAUAGAGAUCUGACUAUGACAGGAAAAGUCCUGGUUGUAAAAUCAGAGCUUCUUUCCUCGAUCACUUCCCUGGCAUCUAUAUUACCCAUCCCUCAUAGGCUUAUGGCGCGUUUAAGAAAAAUCAUGUUUCAGUUUAUUCGGGGUGGGCAGCAGGAAAAACUAAAAAGGGAAAUUAUGUACAGCCCCUGAAAUUGAAUCUAAACUAAAGGCAAUGUUUUUAACACCAAUCUUGAAGGCUUGCCUUAGUCAAGGAAAUAAUCAUACUUGGACACACUUUGCCAGAUUUUAGGUAGGCCGUAAUGUUUUAACAGGUUGGGGAAAAAGAGUGCCUUUGCAAGUUCCAUAUGCCGAGAACUGCCCGAAGAUAUAUUCCGUAGUGCUAUCCUUUCUUAAGAAGGGCUUUGUACAAGAUUCUUACCCCAAUAUUUCUAGAACAUUAGUUGAAGAGCUAUUAACCCCACAAUCGAUAAAGUUGAGUCCUGUGGGCCUCCUUACCCAAACACAAUGUCAGCUAGCAUGGAAUAAUGUAAAUUGAGAUUUCUUUUGUUAAACACACACAAGGACCUAGCCUGGCAUAUUGUACAUCAGUCAUUUCUGAUAGUGGGGGACUGCGUUCGCGCUCUCCCCUGAUUUAAUUGUAAGAGAAGUACAUACAUUCACGCCAACACGCUUGUACAGUGGAACAGGAACUAAACAGUCUAGAAUACUUCUUCACAUUCAGACUAUUUUAAAGUCUAAAAGGUCCUCGGAUCAUAUCCAUCAAAUACCAAACCUCCCAGUGGCAUACAGUCCAGGUUAUGAGCAAAUGCAGGGCCCCUGAUGCAUUAUUUUUUUUUAAAGAUGGCGCUAGUGACUGUAGACAGUUUGUGUUCCGAUUGGUCUAGUCUACGGCAAGGUUAUUAUAGUUUAGCAUUUUUUAUUAGUUUUAAUUUCGUUUUGACUUUUUGUUUUCAAAUUCAGUUUAGUUUUAAUUAGUUUUUAAAGUGGGUUUGCUAGUUUAGUUUUUUUGAAAAUGCUUAGUUUUAGUUUAGUUAUUAGUUUUAGUGUUAGUCUUUUUUUGUAAUAUGGGCUAUUUGUCAGGGGCAAGAUUCAAAAAGGUCAGAAAAAGUAUGGUGUAAUAAUAACUCAACAAAAACUAUUUUGUUUAGGGGCAAAGUGUUAUAUGUCUAGCACUAGUUUUGUUAUGACCUUUGCCAAGAGCAUAAAUAGCUAGAACUCAAAAUGCAGAUUAAGUUUUAGCCAUCUGAUCGCUGUUUAGAUUUGCUUUAAUGUUUUGAAAAAAGUAUCUGAAAGGGAUAGUUAAAAUAAUUCCUUUGUUAAUAAUGUUACACAGAACUUUAUUAUAUUACAUAUGGUUCACGCCUUCACAAAAUAUACACAUUUAACACCCUCGAGGCCUACCAAAUUCACACCCCAUGGAAAUUCCUUUAACGUUAAUGUUACCUCUUACAAAAUCCUCACGCCGUACCAAAUAUCUAACGUUACACAUCUUCAAACAGAAUUCACACGCUACACAAAUACUACAGCUGUACAAUUUUCACACCCUAUUCUAAAUUUAUACAAUAGCCUUCUGCCUACUCAUCUGGAUUGAAGCAGCAAACAUUCAGUGUAAAAGUAAAAAUGACAUAACAUUACAUAAUAUUUGAAUCACAGCUUAUAGUGUUUUGACAUCGACAACCCAAGUGCAUUUUACCUCAAACUUGCGACUAGUUAACUUUCUAAAGAAGGCGCAAUCGCUUCUCGGGUAGACAUUAACACACUGACAAAAUUAUAUUCAGAAUAAAUAAUAUUUUUAUACCACUUUUUAAUGUGUGAUUGUGUAAAGGUGUUCACGAGAUACCAACCUUUCGCGAACUUGCUUCAAUGUCAUGGAGACGCGGUGUGCACGAAGGGGUGUGUGUGUGUGUGUGUGUGUGUGUGUGUAAAUGACAGAGAGACGGAGGGAGAGCAGGGAAAGGAAACACAGCUGAGCGAAUACUCUGCGUGUUUUAAAUUGCGUUAAAAAAGGAAAGACAUUGACAAAGACGAAAACUAAGAACAUUUACUCUUAUCAUUUUAUUUUAAUUCGUUUUGUCAACCACACAUUACAGUUUUAGUUAGUUAUCGUUUUUUUGUAAUGCCUCGUUUUUAUUUUUAUUUCAGUUAACGACAAUGUUUUUUCCCACCUAGUUUACGUUUUUUCGUUCGUUUUCGUUAACGAUUAUAACCUUGGUCUACGGUCACUGUUAUAACCUUUUUGGGAAAACGACCGACCUUACAAGUCCCAUAUGCUAAAGAGCUUCUCUAAGAUAUAUUCAGUAGUGGUAUCCUUCAUUAUAAAGGGCUUUGUACAAGAUUCCUAUUCCAAUAUGACCCAGAUGCCCCUGCAAAUCACCAACAGGCCGCUUUGGUGGCAAACAAAGAGUUACUAUCGGGAGAAAAGGAGGGUCUUCCCCAAACCACCGGAGGAGCUGCUGAACCAGGCCACUGCCUUGCCCACGCAGAGAAGCUUCUUCGGGCAGAGGGUAUCCACAGCUUCCCAGGCGCCAGCUGAGCCUGGGAAAACUGGUGCUGCCAUUUGGCCAGUAUGAGAAUGCAUCAUUGCAUUGGCUUAUGGAAAACGAUGUGAGCUACAUGAAGCACAAGGUAUAUUGUAUUUAAUACUGUGGAAGAUGGAACAUUUUCACGAUAUAUUAGAAUAAAAACUCCUCAGAGUCUGGUAUAACAUUUGAUUAUUUCAAGUUCAAUUACGUGGAUCCACAGGAACAAGUCAUGACAGAUUGAAAUGCACAAUCGGAACAAGCUCAUUCUCUUCCAACAGUACAGAUGACGGAUUUAGCAUUUGCAGAAUGUACAUACAAGGAUUAGUAGCCACGAUGAGGUAGUCAAAAAUGCAAGGUUGCACAAAUAGCUCCAGGAGACACCUAGAAUCAUAGAAUGUCAGUUGCCCAGACAACCCGGUCAAAGACUGAGAUAUAUCAAUCUGGACUGUUACUAUAUGGGGACUUAAGUUGACUCUGCUCUUCCCAAUAAGGAAUAGAGCUCUGUUCACCUGUAGGAUGUAAGUAAUAAUAACCCCCUGCUGUUCAAGAGCUUCCUCCUAGAGAACAGUUUCUUAUGGCGGUUUAAUGGCACAGUAAGAGGCUCCUGGAGGCCAACAUCGACAGGUGUAUCUUGGGUCAGGAGAUCGGGGCAGUGGCCAGGAGCGGGUAAGCAGGUGGACUACAUGUAAAGCAGAGAACAAAGGGGGAGAAGGAAUCCCAAACGUCUCACUUAUGAUUGCGGUGCAGGGCCUCAGUUAAACCAUCACUAACAUACACAGACAGCACAAUAAAGGUGUCUUCUUCAGCACAUUUAACUUUGCCACCAACAAUCAGACCACUGGGUCUCUGCACCCUAGACUAUGGGACCCCUUACUCCUGGGACCCCCCUAAAGCACAAGAAAACACUGGAAAGGAUCAUCAAGACUGGUCAAUCAAAACACUCAGAAACCCCAUUACAGACAGGGACACAGGCACUGCAAUUCCAUCACUUACCAACAAACAAUGUAAGACAGCCUGGAAUAACACCACCUCACCCGCACUCAUGAACAAACAUACAGACGUAGCAUGGAUGGCUGCCAUAUGCUGCCUCCCCACCCAGUUGUUUAUGCACACCAGGGGUGCAGCCAGGACAGGGGUGCAGCCAGGACAGGGGUGCAGCCAGGACAGGGGUGCAGCCAGGACAGGGGUGCAGCCAGGACAGGGGUGCAGCCAGGACAGGGGUGCAGCCAGGACAGGGGUGCAGCCAGGACAGGGGUGCAGCCAGGACAGGGGUGCAGCCAGGACAGAUCGAUGCCCACAUGGCAGUAGAGAAACAGAGACAGAAGAUCACAUCCUUUGGCGGUGCAGGGUGGCACAAGACAUCCGACUCAUGAUCUCUGCUCUUCUCACCAGGUCAACCGGCACAGCUGCGAUGACCCUCCAGGCCAUCCUCUUCAGGACCACCCGAGGGAUGCCUGGAGGGUCGUCAACGCCACCAAAAAGACCAUCUGGGACACAAGAAACGUUAAGGUUUUUCCUCAAACAGGACACACUUCCAAUCAUCACCACCAGAAUUCAACACCACCCUGGACAAUCAGUGCCUUGGGCAUGACACGGCCCAAGGCGCUGUCCACUGGAAUCACCAGAAAAAGACACCAACAGCUUUGAGUCUCCAAUGCCAACCUCGAAGCACGACACCCAUGUUCAAAUCUACAAGGACAACACUGGUCUGUUCAGGCGGCAACGGGUGAUGAAAUCGGACCGCAUGUGGUUUUACCCAGAAGAACCUCCCGGCAAUGUAAGGGGUGCCCCGCCAACUCCACAGCCGGAGCUGUGUCUGUGUGGUGUCCUAAAAUUACUGCAGUCAAUAGACGUCCUAAGCAUCUUCGUUGUCCUCGUUUUACUAAGGCGCUGUUCGUUGAAUCAUCUGUAGUUAUACUAUCCAGAGAAUCACCUAAUUUCUCUUUUACAAAUAAAUCAGGGGAGAGAGCGAACGCAGUCCCCCACUACCAGAAAUUAUGCAAUCGAGAAUUCCACAUUUGGGAAAUUCGCAGGGGUCGAGUCUACAGUAGUGCAACGACUGUAGACAGUUACGCGUUCUGAUUGGUCUAGAGUCUACAGGCUUUUGCUCACAACUUGAAUCGUAUGUCAUUGAUUGUCUUGGGAUUUGAUGGAAGUGAUUUGAGGCCCUUUGAGACCUUAACCAAUGUUUUUGUUUGGUGUGAAUUGGUCUAGUUUCUCUCGUGAACGAGCCAUUUCAGAGCCCUUGUUUAGCUUACAGUCACUGUCAGUUUCGUAUGCCCAUGAAGAUGGCGAGCCCAGUAAUCCGCCUAAUCAACCCAGAUGCCCCUCCAGAUCAUCAACAGGCCGCAUUGGCGGCAACAAAAGAGGCCCGUUACUAUCGGGAGAAAAGGAGGCUCUUUCCCAAACCUCCACAGGAGCUGCGGAACCAGGCUACAGCCUUGGCUCAUGCAGAGAAGCUCCUUCGAGCGGAGGGUAUCCACACGCCUUCACGUCAGCUGUGCCUGGGAAAGCUGGUGAUACCAUUUGGCCAGUAUGAAAACACAUCAUGUCACUGGCUUGUGGAAAACGAUGUGGGCUACUUGAAGUAAUCAGAGGAGACCACCCAACAUGAGGAGGGAGAGAGAGUGAACGACUACCUCAACGAAUAUGCAGAGAGUUUCCCACAAGUCUGCAUUCUCCUGGAGGCCAACAUCGACCGGUGUAUUUACGGUCAGAGAGGGUUUGAGGAAAGCACCUUUCAGGAGAUGUGGACUCUCUACAGCAAGUACCCCACCCACAAGGACAGGCCAGAGCUAUUCAGUGAGGAGGAGAAGGAGAUAAUAAAGAAAGCAUACAGUUCUGUGAGGAGGUGGCUGCACACACCAGUGACCCACAUCACAAGUGUGCAGAUGAAGAGGUUCAGGAAAUAUAUUGUUGACAAGGAGCAAAGGGCUGUUCACCCCCGUUCAGAUCUACAAGGACAACACUGGUGUGUUCAGGCGACGACAGGUGUUGAAAUCGGACUGCAUGUGGUUUUACCCAGAAGGACCUCCCGGCCAUGUCAGGGGUGCCCCGCCAACUCCACAGCUGUUUUUUCGUAGCCGUGUCUGUGUGGCGUCCUGUUGGAGUGUGGAGGUACUCCCUGAAGUGACCUUGAGGUGAUGAGUGUCUGGGUAGAGGACAGAACGUGCACCUCUCCAAGUCUGUCUGCCAACACCAGGUACGUUACAUCUGAGACGAGUCCACCUGGUACAUGGUGCCCACUGAGGUCCUGUGCUGUGGACCAGGUAAAAAGGUGACCAGGAGCAGAGAAGGUGGAAGGCUUGUGGGAUCCCGCUAUUUUAUCACAACUUAACGAAGCUCAUCAAGCUAUGUUCCCUGCCAUCCCCACCAGGAAGUGGUGAAGCAGCUGUCUGGGGAUGGUGGAGGCUCAGCUGAGUGGUUCACAAGCGUCAGAAACAAGCACUGCGAAAUAGGUUCAUUUGUGCUGACCUGUGAGGAGUCCACAGAGAAGCUGAAACCAAUGUGCCGUGGGGUCAUGGAGAGGUCCCGGCUGGCCAAUCAACCGGUCCCCAAAAUCAUGUAUGUGGACCGUGGGUGUGGCCGUGUGCAGGGCCCAACAGCGCUGGGGAUUUGGUUCCAGCCUUGGGUGGACAAUGGGAUGGUUGUGCGUCUGGACAUCUUUCCCUGGAUCCACAGGUUAAACGCAGCCACACGCACAGAGUCCCACUCCAAGUAUGCUACGUUCAAGUCUGCGCUAGCUGGGGCAGUGCUGGCCUAUAACCGCACAGACCUGAAGCUGCUCAUCAAGGCCGUCAGAGCCAAGGACCCGGCAAAGCUGUCAGAUGAGGAUGUUGUCCGCCACUACAUUUCCAGGGAGCACCUCAAACACCACGUGUGGGGGGGUCACACUCAGGAAACGUUCAGGAUUAUCCACCUGGCCAUUGAGGAGCUGAAAGGUCAUGCUGGGCUGGACGAGAGGAGUGAGCUGUUUCAAAACACCUGGUAUAAAAGACAUUGUGCAGAAAAAGGUUAUUACAACAUUGAUACAAACAGUGUAGCGUACAAAGUGAACAUAACACACUGUAUGAAUGUGACAGGAUGAAUAAGAU
ensembl:lncRNA